CGGCGGGCGCGCGCAUCCCGGGCCCGGCCUGGCGGCGGAGUCGUGCUGCGGGGCGAGGCUGCGGGCGGCGGGGCUGGAGGAGAGGUCCGCGCCGCGCGCCGCUGCUGUCCUCGGAUCCCCGACGGCCGGGCGCCCGGAGACCCGGGAUGCUGGUCCUCUCCUCCUCCCAGGUAAACACAAGGAGCCCCUGUCCCCUUCGUGGUAUGUUACUGCUGGGUCUGCGGGCCCGUCGUCAGGCCAACCGGGGUGCGAGCCCGACCGGGGAGCUCCCGUGUCACAGGUUCUCAUCCUCACACCGUCAGGACACCAGUGGCGGGUGGUGACUGUUCCCACCAGUGUGCAAACCCCCCACAUUCGGCUCCUCUGUGGUGUGACCGCCCCUGUCCCAGUGAUGCCCGGGUGGGGUUUCUUUGGGGGGUCCCAAAAGAACUUAGGCGCCUCUGCAAACCCCUCUGCCUAGCUACUACUCUGGCUACGCAGUGGAGACAACAGGGUCUGACUCACCCUCUCCGUCUUCCGUGGGAGUCACAAGACGCCUGAGAGUCCUCUGGAGGUGAGCCACUUCUAGAAAGGACGGAAUCUCCACCACCUCUGGCCCGUGACUCCAUCCACCCUCUCCUCCAACAUGACCUCUGUGUGGCUCUGCCCAAGGAGCCCCCAGACCCCCACUGGCCAAUGACGUAGAUACAUCAGAAAUAUCUUGGUUUAACAUUUGAGGUCAGAGGCAGGCACUUUCUAGGGCAGAAAUCAAAGAAGCACAAGGGCAGCUCCCCAACCAUGGCACCCACCUCACUGGGGGUUCCGGGCCCUUGCCACUACAGAAGCAGAUAGAAUGAUCCAGCGUUGUCAACGUAGCAUCAGGUCGAAGUGCAGCCAUAGGCCCUGGUUCCUCAAUAGCUGGCGGCUGGAGCCACACAUGGUUUGGGGACAAUCUGGAGACUAUGCUUAAAGUCUAGUUAACAUUACUGACCCAUCUUCACAGCCCCCAUGGGGCCACGAGCCCUUGAGCACUUCCUUUCAAAAAUGGGAAUUUGUUGUCAGGACAAGCAUCCAGGGUCUAGACCAGAGCUUGUGCAGAGCUGGGGUUUGUUCCCUUUGCUUAUUUUAUUUUAUUUUAUUUUAUUUUAUUUUAU
rnacentral:lncRNA from 1 species